GAGCAGAUCGGGGGACCACGGGAUGGGAAGGGUGGACAUGGCUCUGACAGCAACAAUGUAACACCCAUGCAACGAGUCUGCGAGGCCGAAUGGAAGCCAGCUGGCUGCAGGGGAGAGAGCAAGAGAGUCUGGCAGAAGGUGCACCUGGAGAAGGAAGUAGAGGCCAGGCCAGUGUGGAGGGAACUGGGAGGACCUGUCUGACCACAAACAACCCACCUGAGGAGGCCCUGCUGCUCCCGGAGGGUGCUCCUGCCAGAGUUCUCCUAGUUCCUUGCAAGGAGCCCUGGAAAAACAAUCCCACCCUGGGUCUAACAUAGUCUCGGGGACUUUUAAACCAAUGCCCAGCUAGAAAAAACAUCUCAGGCAGUUCGCGGAUAGAAGAGGAAAUAAUAUUAAGAGCCUGCCAUAUGUUGAAUGUUUACUAUGUCUCAGCAGCAUAUAAAUGCUUUAGUUUCUUACAGAAGCCCUCCAAGCAUAUGCUUACAAAAUUUGAAGACCACAACCACUCUCCAAAUACAAAUGCAGCAAGUGAUUUGAAGAUCAUAGAAAUGAUAAUACAGGCAAAAAAUGCAAGAAAUCUCCCCUGCCAAAUUAUUCAACUAUGUAUGACUUCUGCCUUUUCACAGCGCCAAUUUGCCAUGCUAUGCGUUUCAUCUUUGCAUCAUUUUCAAUACUGGAUGUAUAAAUUGUGUAAAGACUUUCAGAGUUCUAAUUCAUUUUAUGCAUUUUUUGCAAAUUUGAUUCCAUGAAAGUGCAUUAUCACAUCAUCGACUGUGUGUAAUCAUUGUGUGUGCAUAUAAAAAUGAAGAGAUAAAUGAAGAGAUGUUCGUUUUAUACAUCUGCAUUUGUAAAAUAUAAAAUUUCUUAAGAUCUUGGCUGUUUGGGAGACUGCGUAUGUAGUGGUGACCUAUCAUGGUUUUUGAUCAAUCUUGUCAAAAGACUUAGCUUGUCUGUCAUGGCAUUUCAGAUGAGUGAAUUUCAGAUGUUAUAAAGCUGGGUGCACACAAUUGCCAACCACAGUGAUAUAUAUUUAUACAUUUUGCUUUUUGACAUACUUCUUUAUGAGUAUGGUUUGUCUGCUCAUAAUUUUUAUACUCUUGCAACUGUUGUUAGUAUACCUGAGUGCUUAUGUUUGCAAAUGUAUGUAUGUUAUUAAUGCCUAUUUUGUUGUAUACAAUGGCCUAUGAAGUGUUCUGUUGUGUUUUUAUGUUUAUCAAA
rnacentral:lncRNA from 1 species